rnacentral:rRNA from 1 species
UACGUAGGGUGCGAGCGUUAAUCGGAAUUACUGGGCGUAAAGCGUGCGCAGGCGGUUCGUUGUGUCGGUGGUGAAAGCCCCGGGCUUAACCUGGGAAUGGCCAUGGAAACUGGCGAACUGGAGUGUGGCAGAGGGGGGUGGAAUUCCGCGUGUAGCAGUGAAAUGCGUAGAGAUGCGGAGGAACACCGAUGGCGAAGGCAGCCCCCUGGGCUAGCGCUGACGCUCAGGCACGAAAGCGUGGGGAGCAAACAGG